rnacentral:rRNA from 1 species
CCUACGGGGUGCAGCAGUGAGGAAUAUUGGUCAAUGGGCGCGAGCCUGAACCAGCCAAGUCGCGUGAAGGAUGACUGCCCUACGGGUUGUAAACUUCUUUUAUAAAGGAAUAAAGUGAGGCACGUGUGCCUUUUUGUAUGUACCUUAUUAAUAAGGAUCGGCUACCUCCGUGCCAGCAGCCGCGGUAAUACGGAGGAUGCGAGCGUUAUCCGGAUGUAUUGGGUUUAAAGGGCGCGUAGAUGGGUUGUUAAGUCAGUUGUGAAAGUUUGUGGCUCAACCGUAAAAUUGCAUUUGAUACUGGCAGUCUUGAGUACAGUUGAGGUAGGCGGAAUUCGUGGUGUAGCGGUGAAAUGCUUAGAUAUCACGAAGAACACC